UGUAUCUGAAGCCUGACGAGGAUGAGAACCUCCGGAGGGCAAGAGGUUCGACCCGAGCGCAGCGAGAGAACGUUGCGUCAGCAACGGCCCGCAGGGCGAGUCAUCCUCUAUCACCGGCAG
rnacentral:sRNA from 1 species